CUACGUAGGGGACGAGCGUUGUCCGGAAUUACUGGGCGUAAAGGGCGCGCAGGCGGAUAUUUAAGUCAGCUGUAAAAGGCAUGAGCUCAACUCAUGUAUGCGGUUGAAACUGGGUAUCUAGAGUGCUGGAGAGGUAGGCGGAAUUCCCGGUGUAGCGGUGAAAUGCGUAGAUAUCGGGAAGAACACCAGUGGCGAAGGCGGCUUACUGGCCAGCAACUGACGCUGAGGCGCGAAAGCCAGGGGAGCGAACGGGAUCAGAUACCCCGGUAGUCCUGGCCGUAAACGAUGAAUGCUAGGUGUGGGUGUCGAGAGGCAUCCGUGCCGGAGUUAACGCGAUAAGCAUUCCGCCUGGGGAGUACGAUCGCAAGAUUGAAACUCAAAUGAAUUGACGGGG
rnacentral:rRNA from 1 species